GAACCAAGAAACUUCAGAAACCUCUGAUAUCUGAUCAAGAGUUAAGAGACGUCAGAAUCAUCACAACUGACAAAAGAAUGUUUUCUCUCUUCAAGAUUCUCUUUUGAAAGACAUCUAAAAAGAAACCAGGUCUCACUGUUUUGCCAGGCUGGUCUUGAACUCCUGUGCUCAAGCAAUCCUCCCACCUUGGCCUCUCAGAGUGCUGGGGUUACAGAAAUAGAUGACAAGAGGGUGCCCAACACACAAGGGGAAUUACAGAAUGCAUCCCCUAAGCAAAGGAAGCAGAGUGUGUACACACCACCCACCAUAAAAGGGGUUAAGCAUCUGAAAGGCCAGAAUGAUUCAGCGUUCCCUGAAGAAGAAGAAGGCACCAAUGAAAGAGAGGAGCAGCGGGACCAUUAAUUACUGGUCUGCAGCAAGAAGGCUUCUUGGAAAUAACUGAACUAUUAACUUUUCUGAGUAUACCAUGGAAUUCCACUGCUUGGCUUCCAGAAGCAUCCUCCAUCUCUGCACCCUGCACUCAUACAGUAGCUAUGCACAUCCUGGAAGUC
rnacentral:sRNA from 1 species